UGGGGAAUAUUGGACAAUGGGCGCAAGCCUGAUCCAGCCAUGCCGCGUGUGUGAAGAAGGCCUUAUGGUUGUAAAGCACUUUAAGCGAGGAGGAGGCUACUUUAGUUAAUACCUAGAGAUAGUGGACGUUACUCGCAGAAUAAGCACCGGCUAACUCUGUGACCAG
rnacentral:rRNA from 1 species